rnacentral:tRNA from 1 species
GAUGCUUGUAGCUCAGCGGAUAGAGCAGCUCUUUGCCGAAGGGCAGGUCACGGGUUCGAAUCCCGUCAGGCCCACCA